ACUUAAAUAGCUUAUAAAGAGCGUAGUAUUGAAGAUACUAAGGAAAUAUUGUAUUUUUAAGUA
rnacentral:tRNA from 1 species